rnacentral:rRNA from 1 species
GAUGAACGCUGGCGGCGUGCCUAAUACAUGCAAGUCGAGCGAACAGACGAGGAGCUUGCUCCUCUGACGUUAGCGGCGGACGGGUGAGUAACACGUGGAUAACCUACCUAUAAGACUGGGAUAACUUCGGGAAACCGGAGCUAAUACCGUAUAAUAUAUUGAACCGCAUGGUUCAAUAGUGAAAGACGGUUUUGCUGUCACUUAUAGAUGGAUCCGCGCCGCAUUAGCUAGUUGGUAAGGUAACGGCUUACCAAGGCAACGAUGCGUAGCCGACCUGAGAGGGUGAUCGGCCACACUGGAACUGGGACACGGUCCAGACUCCUACGGGAGGCAGCAGUAGGGAAUCUGCCGCAAUGGGCGAAAGCUUGACGGAGCAACGGCGCGUGAGUGAUGAAGGUCUUCGGAUCGUAAAACUCUGUUAUUAGGGAAGAACAAAUGUGUAAGUAACUAUGCACGUCUUGACGGUACCUAGUCAGAAAGCCACGGCUAACUACGUG